UGGUUAUGGUCAAAGGCAAAUCUACUGCCGGUGGCCAUUAGUACCUCUGACUGCUCAGUUUGUGUUCCUUGACCUCUUUUGAAUUUAUCCCAUUUGACGCAGUAGUAGUGCGAUGAUGGAUAGUCUGAAGAUGGGUCUUUUAUCUGUAAAGGUGAUACGAUGGUCUUUCAAAAAAUAUUGAUGUGGAUAUGUACAAUCAGAGUCUCAAGACUUUGAAGAUUUGGGGUCGAGUUUGAGUACUCCCAGAGUCACUGUACUUGCAUGCUCUGGUGAUUGAAUCUUCUAGUGCAAUUGGAUACAUCUAGGACCUGUGCUACAAGAGUCUGGAAUGUUAUCAGAAAGGUGCAAUUCUGUGAGUGUGCCAGGCUGUGGUACUGGAGUUUUUUUCCCUAUUCUGGCAUAAUUCUGGGGGAUAACGACAGCAAUGAUGAUGUGUCUUCACUGCCUCUGGUUCUGAUUCUUAAAUUGAUCUAACGGGAGUGGUCUAUUCUAACGAGUUUUUAGCCUCUUAUCAUAGUAGUUAUUACACCUCUUUGAGCAAUGAAUGUGUAUAACACAUUUUCUUAAAUAUAAACAGAAAAUGCUGGAAAUGUUAAUCAGGUCAGGAAGAAUCUGUGGCAAGAGAAAAGGGCACAUCGAAAAGUUGGAAGUGCAACAUUUGAAGUUGCAGAGAAGGGGGGAAGGUAAUGAGAAUGUGGAUGGUCUGCAAUAGGCUGGAGACUAAAGGGGUGAAGGUAACCCUGCUGACCCAGUGUGAUGUGGGCAUGUUGAUCGGAGUUCUAAAUAGGAGAUUAAUAAAAGUAGAGAGGGACUGACAAUACAAGAGAAUAAAGAGGUGCUGUACCUGUAAUAUGGCACUGGGGGAUAUGCCAACGGGUGAGGUACAACAUUGAAAUUUGAUAUUGAAUGCUUCUGAAAGACUCUUAACACCUAGAAUCCACGAUUAUGAUAAAAGUUGGAUAUUUA